UCAAUGUUAUAAGCCAAAACCCUGUGGAUGAUUUCAGUUGGCCUCUAUUAUUUACCCACCAAUCAUCCAGAUCCAACUAGUGUGCUUGAUGAGAGCUGACGUGGGCGUGGGUUGGGGCCUAUAAUGGAGGCAGAGGAGGGAGAGGGUGCGGGAUGGUGCACUUGCACUGACAUUGAGGAUGAUUCUGAUCCCAAGGGGCCUUCCUCCUCCUUUUUAGGUGAUUUGUUUCAUCAUAUUCCACUCGUCAGGGUCCCUACAAGAUCUGCUUCGAUCGAACCACCCAAAAUUCCUCAACUUUAACCUGAACUCCCACUUAAUUCACCUACCCUUUUCAUUUUACUCUCUCCUUUUCCCUGAUGGUUAGGAGUUGUUUGUAUAAUAUAUUGACCAAUCCAUCGCUUGAUGAAAAUAAGGAGCAUUUUUAAUGUUAUCUUGUCAAGCAUCUAUAUUUUUUUAAACCUUCAACCUCUUGGAAGUUACAGCAGACAGACCAACCAAGGUGCUGAGCAUCAAAUACCAUAUGAUGACGACAGCCACGCAGGAGGUGGUUUACCUUUUUCCCUUUUUAAUAUUUGAAAGUAAAAGACUGGGUUUCUUUUUGCUGGUUUGUUUUCUUUGCACAGGAUGCCAAAGUGAAAAGAGAUAUGAAAAAGUAGACACCAACAAGGCUUCAAGGCUUAGCAGGUAAGUCUGUUUAGUUGCAUCGACAUAAAUAGAUUCUUUUUUUUUUUCAAUGUCAAAAUAAAAAUAUCUAGUAUUUAUUAUGUUACUGAUAUUUAUAGUCGAGGGAAAAAAAAUUCUAAGAUUCAGAAGGUGCAGAGGAACUUGGCUAAAAAACAAGGGGUGAGAAGAAUCGAGUAGCUGAUAACGAAAGAAACGGGAAUCAACGAGGUGCCUUCACUUACAAACAAUUCAUAGGCCUCUAAAGUAAUGCUUAUGAACAUGGAGGCGCUCAACACUCUGACCCCAUGGCGCCCAUCUUCUCAACCUGAGAAAAAGUCAUAGCAUGUGUUAUCAUGUGCCACGAGUACUUAGCACGGAUCUAUUUGAUUCAUCUUCAUGCGCAAGAGUUAUUGCCUUAUUGGGAAUGUCGAUGCGUGCUUAACCUCAGAUUUGAUGAACCGAAUCUCACCCAAUACAUGUCAAGUUUGUAAGAUUUUCCUAAGAUAAUUACCAAGAUCUUCAAGCAAAGUGAAUUAAUUCAGACGUGAGAGGAGAGAAUAUGCAGGAAAACGAGAGCCCAGAGGGCCGAUACAUUGGAUGUUAUAUUAAUGCCUGAAUGCAUGCCUCGCUAUUAGGAAGGAAAUAUGCAUACUAUGGAACACUGUCAUGUGUUCUGUAUGAAUCAUAUAAUGAUCUGGUGACAAUGCCAAUUAUUGCAUUUCUCCUGUCCUUCCCUGGAUUUGUUGUUCUUAUCUUCUCCUAUAACAUCAUGUUCCUAGACAGAUGCCUUGAAGCGGUUCUGAAAUGUAAAGUACACAUAUUAAUAUAUUAUGUUAUUCAUGCACA